rfam:Moraxella nonliquefaciens strain CCTG 60284 contig_6, whole genome shotgun sequence.
AUGGCAGACCAGACAAUCGCCGUUUACUUUGGUAAAGGGAGGAAAGUCCGGACUACACAGGGCGACGUGCUAGCUAACGGCUAGGGGGCGAGAGCCUACGACCAGUGCAACAGAGAAUAGACCGCCCAACCACUCAAUCAAGUGUUUAAAAAUAUUCGGUUGAGUGGUUGGGUAAGGGUGAAACGGUGAGGUAAGAGCUCACCGCAUGGCUGGCGACAGUCAUGGCAAGGUAAACUCCACGUGUAGCAAAACCAAAUAGGUAUCCAAUGAGUUGCCCGCUUAGGAUACGGGUAGGUUGCUUGAACGUACAAGCGAUUGUGCGUCUAGAUGAAUGAUUGUCCAUGACAGAAUCCGGCUUAUCGGUUUGCCAUUAUU